rnacentral:rRNA from 1 species
UACGUAGGGUGCGAGCGUUGUCCGGAAUUAUUGGGCGUAAAGAGCGUGUAGGCGGCCAAACAGGUCAGCUGUGAAAACUCGAGGCUCAACCUCGAGACGUCGGUUGAAACCGUUUGGCUAGAGUCCGGAAGAGGAGAGUGGAAUUCCUGGUGUAGCGGUGAAAUGCGCAGAUAUCAGGAAGAACACCCGUGGCUAAGGCGGCUCUCUAGUACGGUACUGACGCUGAGACGCGAAAGCGUGGGGAGCGAACAGG